GAUGAACGCUGGCGGCGUGCCUAACACAUGCAAGUCGAGCGAACAGACGCGGCGCUUGCUCCUCUGACGUUAGGCGCGGGGGGGUGAGUCACAUGAGUAAAACCCACCUGUAAUACGGGGAACACUACGGGAAUCCGGCGAUUACACCGGAUAAUAUCUUGAACCGUGUGGGUCGAUGGAGAAAGUCGGUGUUGCGGGCACUUAUAGAGGGAUACGCGCCGCAUUGGCUAGUUGGUAAGGUAAAGGCUUUCGAAGGGGAGGAUGCGUGGCCGACUGCACAGGCGGAUCGCCCACACUGGAGCUGGGCCACGGUCCAGACUCCUACGGGACGCAGCAGUAGGGAAUCUUCCGCAGUGGGCGAAAGCCUGACGGAGCGGCGCCGCGUGUGUGAUGACGGUCUUCGGUUCGUAAAGCUCUGUUACUGGGGAAGAACCGCUGUGUACUGAACUAUGCACGUCUUGACGGUACCUGAUCAGAAAGCCCCGGCUAACUACGUG
rnacentral:rRNA from 1 species